rnacentral:lncRNA from 1 species
AUGAACUCCCCACCCGUCCCGCCCGCACCGACCGCCGCUUCCCUGGGCCGCCCCUCCCCGGGCCCAUCUCGCGGGGGUGGACGCGGCCCCGGGCCCGGGGCACGACCCCCUCCCUCCCGCACAGGCCCCCGCCCAAGCGCUUGCAACCGCGACCCUGCCCGGAGCCCGCCGCCCGCGGGACCGUCCCCGCGCCUGCCCGCGCCUCCCAGUCCUCGCCGUCCGCCCGCCCCGGCCAGCCCCGCCAGCCCGGAGGGCGCGGGGGGCGCGGGCCCCAGCCCCAGCUCCUGCCUCAGCUCCUGCCCCAGCCCCAGCUCCUGCCCCAGCCCCAGCUCCUGCCCCAUCCCCAGCUCCUGCCCCAGCUCCUGCCCCAGCCCCCAGCCCCAGCUCCUGCCCCAUCCCCAGCUCCUGCCCCAGUCCCUGCCCCUGCCCCAGUCCCUGCCCCAGCCCCAGCUCCUGCCCCAGCCCAGCCCCAGCUCCUGCCCCAGCCCCCAGCCCCAGCUCCUGCCCCAGUCCCUGCCCCUGCCCCCAGCCCCAGCUCCAGCCCCUGCCCCAGCCCCAACUCCUGCCGCAGCCCCUGCCCCAGCUCCUGCCCCAGCCCCUGCCCCAGCUCCUGCCCCAGCCCCUGCCCCAACUCCUGCCCCAGCCCCUGCCCCAGCUCCUGCCCCAGCCCCUGCCCCAGCUCCUGCCCCAGCCCCUGCCCCAGCUCCUGCCCCAGCCCCUGCCCCAGUUCCUGCCCCAGCUCCUGCCCCAGCCCCUGCCCCAGCUCCUGCCCCAGCCCCAACUCCUGCCGCAGCCCCUGCCCCAGCCCCCGCUCCUGCCCCAGCCCCUGCCCCAGCCCCGCGUGACGUGGGCGCCGCGGCGGGAGGGGCCGCCCGGGGGGCUCCGGCCGCCUUAUUAGCGCCCGGCGGGUCGCGGGCAGCCCCAGCCCGCCGCACGGAGCAACAGGAGCCGCAGCUCCCCACUCCUCCCACCGCCCCCGCCAGCCUCCUCCUCCUCCUCCUCCUCCUCCUCCUCCUCCUCCCCUCGGCUCCUCCCGCCCCCACCUCCGAGCGAGCGGCGGAGUCGCCCUCUCGCUGCCUCUUUCUCCCGCUCCCGCUCGCUCGUCUCUCUCGCCCACACUUGCCCCUGCUGUGCUCCAGGGCACCCAAGCAUUCUCCGCGCCGACCUUGGGAACCGGGGGUGCUCGAAAAGCCCCGGAAAAGCCGCCGGGCGCAGAGAUAG